rnacentral:rRNA from 1 species
AGAGCGAACGCUGGCGGCAGGCCUAAUACAUGCAAGUCGAACGAACCCUUCGGGGUUAGUGGCGGACGGGUGAGUAACACGUGGGAACGUGCCCUUUGGUUCGGAACAACGCAGGGAAACUUGCGCUAAUACCGAAUGUGUCCUUACGGAGAAAGAUUUAUCGCCAAAGGAUUAGCCCGCGUCCGAUUAGCUAGUUGGUGAGGUAACGGCUCACCAAGGCUCCGAUCGGUAGCUGUUCUGAGAGGAAGAUCAGCCACACUGGGACUGAGACACGGCCCAGACUCCUACGGGAGGCAGCAGUUGGGAAUCUUGGACAAUGGGGGAAACCCUGAUCCAGCCAUGCCGCGUGAGUGAUGAAGGCCUUCGGGUUGUAAAACUCUUUCGACGGGGACGAUAAUGACGGUACCCGUAGAAGAAGCUCCGGCUAACUUCGCGCCAGCAGCCGC